rnacentral:piRNA from 1 species
UGUACCUCAGAGUACUGUUCUACCUUGUUAA